rnacentral:rRNA from 1 species
AGCGAACGCUGGCGGCGUGCCUAAUACAUGCAAGUCGAACGGAGUGGCGCACGGGUGAGUCAUAUAUAGCUAAUCUGCCCCUUGCUGGAGGACAACAGUUAGAAAUGCUUGCUAAUACUCCAUAGCAAGGGAUGUGACGAUAUCGUAUCAGCUAGUCGGUGGGGUAACGGCCUACCGAGGCUAUGACGGGUAACUCGUCUGAGAGGAUGAUCAGUCACAUGGGAACUGAGACACGGUCCAAACUCCGAAGGGAGGCAGCGGUAGGGAAUAUUACGCAAUGGGAGAAACCCUGACGGAGGAACGGCGCGUGAAGGAUGACACUUUGCGGAGCGUAAACUCCUUUUGUUAGGGAAGCGGUACCUAACGAAUAAGCACCGGCUAACUCCGUGCCGGCAGCCGCGGUAAUAC